GAUGAACGCUGGCGGCGUGCCUAAUACACGCAAGUCGAGCGAACAGACGAGGAGCUUGCUCCUCUGACGUUAGCGGCGGACGGGUGAGUAACACGUGGAUAACCUACCUAUAAGACUGGGAUAACUUCGGGAAACCGGAGCUAAUACCGGAUAAAAUAUUGAACCGCAUGGUUCAAUAGUGAAAGACGGUUUUGCUGUCACUUAUAGAUGGAUCCGCGCCGCAUUAGCUAGUUGGUAAGGUAACGGCUUACCAAGGCAACGAUGCGUAGCCGACCUGAGAGGGUGAUCGGCCACACUGGAACUGAGACACGGUCCAGACUCCUACGGGAGGCAGCAGUAGGGAAUCUUCCGCAAUGGGCGAAAGCCUGACGGAGCAACGCCGCGUGAGUGAUGAAGGUCUUCGGAUCGUAAAACUCUGUUAUUAGGGAAGAACAAAUGUGUAAGUAACUAUGCACGUCUUGACGGUACCUAAUCAGAAAGCCACGGCUAACUACGUG
rnacentral:rRNA from 1 species